rnacentral:rRNA from 1 species
GACGGUGCGCUAACCAGCAAUGGAGGCAGCCGGCCACGGUAGGGUCAGCGACUGGGGUGAAGUCGUAACAAGGUAGCCGUAGGGGAACCUGCGGCUGGAUCACCUCCUUU